UACAGAGGUCCCGAGCGUUGUUCGGAUUUAUUGGGCGUAAAGGGCUCGUAGGCGGUCUGUUGCGUCGGGAGUGAAAACUCAGGGCUUAACCCUGAGCCUGCUUCCGAUACGGGCAGACUAGAGGUAUGCAGGGGAGAACGGAAUUCCCGGUGUAGCGGUGAAAUGUGUAGAGAUCGGGAGGAACACCCGUGGCGAAGGCGGCGCUCUGGUCGGCAUCUGACGCUGAGAGGCGAAAGCGUGGGGAGCGAACGGG
rnacentral:rRNA from 1 species